rnacentral:rRNA from 1 species
GACCUUCCUUGCUGCGAGCCUCCCGGCUGUCUAGUUUCCGGCUUCGCCGGAGGACGGGCCGGAAGGCUCUUCGGCCGCCAUAGAACGAUCAACUUAGAACUGGCACGGACUAGGGGAAUCCGACUGUCUAAUUAAAACAAAGCAUUGCGAUGGCCCCAAGGGGUGAUGACGCAAUGUGAUUUCUGCCCAGUGCUCUGAAUGUCAACGUGAAGAAAUUCAAGCAAGCGCGGGUAAACGGCGGGAG